rnacentral:lncRNA from 13 species
UGUUCUUUAAACAUGUCAAUCCCUGUUUACAGUAAUGUAGAACAAUCAUUCUGUUCUUUAAACAUGUCAAUCCCUGUUUACAGUAAUGUAGAACAAUCAUUCUGUCCUUAAAACAUGUUAAUCCACAUUUACAGUAAUGUAGAACAAUCAUUCUGUUCUUUAAACAUGUCAAUCCCUGUUUACAGUAAUGUAGAACAAUCAUUCUGUUCUUUAAACAUGUCAAUCCCUGUUUACAGUAAUGUAGAACAAUCAUUCUGUCCUCAAAACACGUUAAUCCAUGUUUACAUGUUUACAUGUUUUCAGCUAACACAGCACUGCCUCAGCGUGANNNNNNNNNNNNNNNNNNNNNNNNNNNNNNNNNNNUGGUCUUCCAUUGACUGGGGGAGUCAACAGAUGGGGAUUGGUCUUGCAUUGACUGGGGGAGUCAUUAACAGAUGGGGAUUGGUCUUCCAUUGACUGGGGGGAGUCUUUCACAGAUGGUGAUUGGUCUUCUAUUGGGGAGCCAUUAACAGAUGGUGAUUGGUCUUCUAUUGACUGGGGGGAGUCUUUAACAGAUGGUGAUUGGUCUUCCAUUGACUGGGGGAGUCAUUCACUUCUUAUGGUUGCAGGGGCACCAUUGAGUAGCUUGGAUGAAAGGUGCCCAGAGUAAACGGCCUGCUCCUCAGUCUCAGUUGCUAAUAUAUGCAUAUUAUUAGUAUUGGAUAGAAAACACUCUGAAGUUUCUAAAACUGUUUGAAUGAUGUCUGUGAGUAUAACAGAACUCAUAUGGCAGGCAAAAACCUGAGAAGAAAUCCAAACAGGAAGUGAGAAAUCUGAGGUUGGAUUAUUUUCAUCCCAUUCCCUAUUGAAAUCCCCUUGGGAUAUGAAUGAAGAUUCACUUCCUAGGGCUUCCACUAGAUGUCAACCGUCUAUAGAAAUUUGAAUGAGGCUUCUACUGUGUUGUGGGACUGAAUAAGAGGGGAAUAAGUCAGACUACUGGCAGAGAGCCAGUUCCAGGUCACAUGAUAUCUUCCUGCGUUCCGUUCCUCCUCAAGACACAAAGGAAUUCUCCGGUUGGAACUUUAUUGAAGAUUUAUGAUAAAAACAUCCCAAUGAUUGAUUCAGUACUUAGUUUGAAAUGUUUCUUCGACCUGUAAUAUAAUUUUUUAAAGUUUUUGUCCGACGAUAUGGUCGACCAGCACCAGCGUUUGGAUAGGUGUACCAAACGCGACAUUAUCGAACAAAUCAAGAAUUUAUUGUGGACCUGGGAUUCCUGGGAAUGCAUUCUGAUGAAGAUCAUCAAAGGUAAGUGAAUAUUUAUCAUGUAAUUUGUGGUUUAUGUUGACUCCAAAAUGGCGGCUAAUUUUAUUAUAUUUCUGAGCGCCGUCUCAGAUUAUUGCAUGGUUUGCUUUUUCCGUAAAGUUUAAAAAAAUCUGACACAGCGGUUGCAUUAAGGAGAGGUAUAUCUAUAAUUCCAUGUGUAUAACUUGUAUUAUCAUCUACAUUUAUGAUGAGUAUUUCUGUUGAAUUGAUGUGGCUAUGCAAAAUCAUUGGAUGUUUUUGGAACGUACCGCGCCAAUGUAAACUCAGAUUUUUGAACUUUAUCAAACAAAACAUACAUAUAUUGUGUAACAUGAAGUCCUGUGAGUGUCAUCUGAUGAAGAUCAUCAAAGGUUAGUGAUUCAUUUUAUCUCUAUUUGUGCUUUUUGUGACUCCUAUCUUUGGCUGGAAGACCUAACAUAAUCGUUUGUGGUGCUUUCGCUGAAAAGCAUAUUUGAAAUCGGACACUGUGGUUGGAUUAACAACAAGAUUACCUUUAAAACGAUAUAAGAUACAUGUAUGUCUGAGGAAUUUUAAUCAUGAGAUUUCUGUUGUUUUGAAUUUGGCGCCCUGCACUUUCACUGGCUGUUGUCAUAUCAUCCCGUUAACGGGAUUGCAGACCAAAGAGGUUUUAACAGAUGGCGCAUGGCAGUGGCGAUUUUAGUAUGUAAAUCUUGU